rnacentral:tRNA from 1 species
CCCUGUAGCUCAAUUGGCAGAGCAGCCGGCUGUUAACCGGCAGGUUACUGGUUCGAGUCCA